CCUACGCCCAUAAAAAGAAAUAAAAAUAAGUGUACAUAUAUAAGUUAGUCAAGGAUUCUACCAAGUAAAUGGAUUUAUGAAGAAAUUGAAAGAGUAGGUAUUUAAAAAGGGAUUUCCGUAAGACCAUGAGCUUAUAAGCUCUCCUAAAUGCCACAUGUCAGAAUAUUUAACACUUGUCAAGAAUAGGGAUACUUGUCAAAAUUAUCCUUGGAUAUAAAAGAAGUUAGCCUUCCCGAUUUUCACUUGCUAUACACAUGAUAACCGAGAGAAACAUGGAGGAGGAAUUUUAGAGAAGUAGAGAGCAACGAGAGAAACAUGGAGGGGAAUUUCAGAGAAGUAGAGAGCAAGUUCUUCUUCAAUAAGUUUAAGUUGAGCAGUGACGGUGGAGAAUGCUGAGCAGAGUUGUGAUUUUCCUUUUAUUUUAAGUAGAGGCUCUCGGUGGUGCAUGUCUCCAUACAUGUGACCGUGUUCAUUCCGCUGCGUACUAAAAUUUUAGUUAACCUCGAUUGUUCUUCUGUACUCUGAUAAUUAUUUAUUGAAAAGUAAGAUUUAUAUUUAAGUUCUGGUGAUUAAGAGUUUGUUUGAGUUGUUUUCCCCUUUAUUUCUAAAUGAAUAUUAGCCAUUGUUCA